UGACGAACCCUCUGCCACGGUCCACUUGCAACAUGAAUAGUCUGCUGCUAGGAUGCCUGACAAUGAAAUGCAAGUGCAAAAGGCUGAGAAAAGGGGAAAUACUGCAGCUGGAGAGGGGGAUUUAGUGGGGUGAUUAAUGGAUUCAUAGGAAAUGCGUCCUUUGGUUUACCGGGCAAGUGCAGAAAUUCAGUGCCCACACAGGAGUCGCACCCCAAUAUUAGGCAGAGCAACUGAAAUAUUUCUAAUUCCACCCAGAACAUUGUGCAGAGUAGGGAGGUAAGAAUACCUCUGCCAGAUAUUUUACAAACAUUUAGAUGGUUCAGAUGGUUUAAUUGGCCCAGAGAGGCCCAACAAGGAAGCGAAGCAGUGAAAUCCAUCACGGAGAAGCUCAGGCCACCUCCAGUAAAACCCCUCCGGCGCAGAGGGAUGAGAGACGAACGAGGAGCAGAAAGCGCCAAAGUGGAAUUCCUACAUAUCCCAUGAGCACAAAGCUGGGGAGUUCAUGAAAUCCAGGCACUCCUUGGGGCCUGGGAGGAGCUCCAGGUGAUUUUAAGGCUCCGAGGGCCCGGCUGGUUUUGGCUGGGCCGGUCCCGACGGAUCACACGCGAGCACGGACACGGGCCCAUCCUACGGAGCACACGGAGACAUAAAGCAGCCAUUGUGCUGGCAGAAAGGCAAUCUGUAACCAGAUAGGCCCUGGCUCCAUCUAAAAGCCAUUUUCCCAGCAUUUUUUUGCUGAUUUGCUCCCAAGGAGCUUUCCCUGCCACAACAGGGUGCACAUUCAUGGCCGGGCAGCGGGUCCAGCGCCGCGGGUUCUCCCCCUCCAGUGCCCCAUCGGUGCCUCUGUGCCAGGGAAUUCGGUGCUCUUAACCCAGGAGAUGUGGCAUCAGCCCCCCAACAGAGCCUUUGGAGGAGGAAAAUUCCUUGGGAAGGCGUUUUAAGCUUUACCUUGACACGGUGAGCUGCAGCUGGAGCCUCACCUCGCACUAGGCCCUGCCCAGCAGGAAAACGCAGCAGGAACCUCUGAGAAGGACAUCCUAACUCAUCCAUGGGUCAGAGCAAAGGGAAAAACCAGAGACCAAACUCACUCCUGGCUCUGAUCGAACAGAAACCCCUCCCAGCUGCUGAUCCCUGCCACUUCAAAGGAGCUGAACAUCCCCUGUUUAUGCCAGCAAUAAAAUUCCACUUCCAUUA